UUUGAGAAGCCCAUGUUUCUUUUCACAUCACAUCACACACGGAUUUGGUACAAUUUGUAAAUUGUUUCACUUUUUAUUGUUUUUGCUAGGACUGUAUUCAAUCAGCUAGGGUUUUCAUCUUUUACAAACAAGGGGAAGCUGCGGCCGUCAAUAUGGUUCUCAAGAUUGAGCUAUGCAGAUUCAGUGGCCAGAAGAUUUACCCUGGUAAGGGUAUUAGAUUCAUCAGAUCUGAUUCACAUGUGCUUUUGUUUGCAAAUUCCAAAUGCAAAAGGUACUUUCAUAACAAGCUGAAGCCGUCAAAGCUUACAUGGACCGCGAUGUACUGAAAGCAGUACA